CGCGUAGGUGGCCUGUGGAAGUCUGUGGUGAAAGUCCGGCGCUCAACGCCGGAUCGGCCGUGGAUACUCUCGGGCUUGAGCUUACUAGAGGCAGAUGGAAUUCCGGGUGUAGCGGUGGAAUGCGUAGAGAUCCGGAAGAACACCGGUGGCGAAGGCGGUCUGCUGGGGUAAUGCUGACACUGAUGCGCGACAGCGCGGGGAGCAAACA
rnacentral:rRNA from 1 species